rnacentral:rRNA from 1 species
UGCAGUCGGACGGAACGACAAGAGCUUGCUCUUGGGCGUCGAGUGGCGGACGGGUGAGUAACGCGUAGGAAUCUGCCUAGUAGUGGGGGAUAGCCCAGAGAAAUCUGGAUUAAUACCGCAUAAUAUCUAUGGAUUAAAGUGGAGGAUUUUCGGACUUCACGCUACUAGAUGAGCCUGCGUAAGAUUAGCUUGUUGGUGAGGUAAGAGCUCACCAAGGCGACGAUCUUUAGCUGGUCUGAGAGGAUGAUCAGCCACACUGGAACUGAGACACGGUCCAGACUCCUACGGGAGGCAGCAGUGGGGAAUAUUGGACAAUGGGGGCAACCCUGAUCCAGCAAUACCGCGUGUGUGAAGAAGGCCUGAGGGUCGUAAAGCACUUUCAAUUGUGAAGAAAAGUCAGUAGUUAAUAGCUACUGGCCUUGACGUUAACUUUAGAAGAAGCACCGGCUAACUCCGUGCCAGCAGCCGCGGUAAUGCGGAGGGUGCAAGCGUUAAUCGGAAUUACUGGGCGUAAAGCGUGCGUAGGUGGUUUUUUAAGUCAGAUGUGAAAGCCCUGGGCUUAACCUAGGAACUGCAUUUGAAACUGGGAAACUAGAGUAUAGGAGAGGAAAGUGGAAUUUCUGGUGUAGCGGUGAAAUGCGUAGAUAUCAGAAGGAACAUCGAUGGCGAAGGCAGCUUUCUGGACUAAUACUGACACUGAGGUACGAAAGCGUGGGUAGCAAACAGGAUUAGAUACCCUGGUAGUCCACGCCGUAAACGAUGAUAACUAGCCGUUGGAGGGGUUUACCCUUUAGUGGCGAAGCUAACGCGUUAAGUUAUCCGCCUGGGAGUACGGCCGCAAGGUUAAAACUCAAAGGAAUUGACGGGGACCCGCACAAGCGGUGGAGCAUGUGGUUUAAUUCGAUGCAACGCGAAGAACCUUACCUGGUCUUGACAUACACGGAACUUUCCAGAGAUGGAUUGGUGCCUUCGGGAACCGUGAUACAGGUGCUGCAUGGCUGUCGUCAGCUCGUGUCGUGAGAUGUUGGGUUAAGUCCCGUAACGAGCGCAACCCCUAUCCUUAUUUGCCAGCACAUCAUGGUGGGAACUAUAAGGAGACUGCCGGUGAUAAACCGGAGGAAGGCGGGGACGACGUCAAGUCAUCAUGGCCCUUACGACCAGGGCUACACACGUGCUACAAUGGGAAGGACAAAGGGUUGCUAAGCCGCGAGGUGGUGCUAAUCUCAUAAACCUUUUCGUAGUCCGGAUCGGAGUCUGCAACUCGACUCCGUGAAGUCGGAAUCGCUAGUAAUCGUAGAUCAGAACGCUACGGUGAAUACGUUCCCGGGUCU